GAUGAACGCUGGCGGCGUGCCUAAUACAUGCAAGUCGAGCGAACAGACGAGGAGCUUGCUCCUCUGACGUUAGCGGCGGACGGGUGAGUAACACGUGGAUACCCUACCUAUAAGACUGGGAUAACUUCGGGAAACCGGAGCUAAUACCGGAUAAUAUAUUGCACCGCAUGGUUCAAUAGUGAAAGACGGUUUUGCUGUCACUUAUAGAUGGAUCCGCGCCGCAUUAGCUAGUUGGUAAGGUAACGGCUUACCAAGGCAACGAUGCGUAGCCGACCUGAGAGGGUGAUCGGCCACACUGGAACUGGGACACGGUCCAGACUCCUACGGGAGGCAGCAGUAGGGAAUCGUCCGCAAUAGGCGAAAGCCUGACGGAGCAACGCCGCGUGAGUGAUGAAGGUCUUCGGAUCGUAAAACUCUGUUAUUAGGGAAGAACAAAUGUGUAAGUAACUAUGCACGUCUUGACGGUACCGAAUCAGAAAGCCACGGCUAACUACGUG
rnacentral:rRNA from 1 species